UUGUAGUCUGCAACCCGACUACAUGAAGCUGGAAUCGCUAGUAAUCGCGGAUCAGAAUGCCGCGGUGAAUACGUUCCCGGGUCUUGUACACACCGCCCGUCACACCAUGGGAGUCGGAAAUGCCCGAAGUCUGUGACCCAACCUGAGAGGGAGGGAGCAGCCGAAGGCAGGUCUGAUGACUGGGGUGAAGUCGUAACAAGGUAGC
rnacentral:rRNA from 1 species